rnacentral:misc_RNA from 1 species
GCGAGAAAGAGAGAGAAAUGGAGCGGAAACAAGGGCGAAAAGACGAGAAGAUCGAAAAGAGAGAGAAGAAAUGGGGGUAGGUAUGGUUAUUAAUUAAUCCCGACUCUCUCUAGAUGCCCGGCACGGCAGCCGCAAAAUAAAGCUCCCAGCAUAAAGAGCUUUACUUCCUGCGGGCAUGAAACAAUUAUCGCCAUCCGCCGUGGGCACAAAGAAGAAGUAGAAGAAGGAAAAGGGACGAGGCAAAGGGGUGGCGGCGUGAUUACACGGGGAGUCCGGCUUCGCGGCGAUCAAAGGGGAUCCCGGGGACCGGUGUGGUCGUCGCUAAUCCGUUAUGGUAAACAUCGAGAGGAUGAGAAAGUUAAUUUCUCGUUUGCACGGGGAAAAAUGAAAUACAAAAUGGAACCGCUUCGAAGCCAACUAUUACAACUCGACGAAAAGAUGCUUUUCAUAAAUCAUUCUCAGCUCCGUGAAGGAUCAGAAUGAUAGGUCGUGCACAAAGAUCCUCGUGCGGAGUGGAAGUUUCGCACAAUGGCCGACGAAUGUCUAAAAAGCGGACUGUUAAUGGUCAAAGGAGCUCCGGUGGUCGGAAAGGGUUGGUCUCGAGGACGUUUUCAUCGGUCUGCCGGCGCAUAGGCACGCCAACAAAAGUCGAAAAGGUGAGUGGAAGAUUCCCUUCUCCGCGCUCUGUUCCCAGGUCUCUUCCUCCCCCUCCUUUUUUUCCUUCCGGUUCCUACGUUGCUCUCUUCCGAGGGAUUUCCCUCUUCCGAACCGAGUCUCGCUGCGCUACGAGUCUCGCUCAACCGAACUGCAAUGGAAUUUGCUUAAGGGUUGAGAAGAGGAAGCGGAGGAGUAAGGAAAAAAAGAGUGGAAACGUCGGAAGAGUGGAUACGGUGGAAACUGAAAGGGAGAAGUAGAAGUGGGUGCAAGGUAAAAUAAUGAGCGAUUAAGAGGGGAAAGCAUGGAGAAGAAGCAUUGCGAUUGCGUAGAGAGGAUGUAGGAUGUAUCUGGUAGGAAUGGAAUGAAAUAUCGUCGAUUUGAAUAAAAUCGAUGGACCAGAUUCGAAUAAUAUUUAUUUAAGUGGAA